rnacentral:rRNA from 1 species
GACGAACGCUGGCGGCGUGCUUAACACAUGCAAGUCGAACGGAAAGGCCCUGCUUUUGUGGGGUGCUCGAGUGGCGAAGGGGUGAGUAACCCGGGAAUAACCUUCGCUGGACUUUGGGAUAACUUCAGGAAACUGGGGAUAAUACCGGAUAGGAGCUCCUGCUGCAGGGGGGGGGUUGGAACGUUUCGGCGGUUGGGGAUGGAGUGGCGGCUUAUUAGCUGGUUGGUUGGGGAGUGGCUUACCAAGUCAUUGGCAGGUAGCCGGCCUGGGAGGGUGGCCGGCCUCCUGGCGCCUGAGAUACGGCCCAGACUCCUAUGGUGGGCAGCGGGCGGGAAUAUUGCCCAAUGGGCGGAAGCCUGAUGCAGCAGUGCCGCGUGUGGGAUGACGGCCUUCGUGUUGUAAACCGCUUUCGCCUGUGACGAAGCGUGAUUGACGUUAAUGGGUAAAGAAGCACCGGCUAACUACGUG